rnacentral:rRNA from 1 species
GAUGAACGCUGGCGGCGUGCCUAACACAUGCAAGUCGAGCGAUUUACUUCGGUAAAGAGCGGCGGACGGGUGAGUAGCGCGUGGGUAACCUGCCCUGUACACACGGAUAACAUACCGAAAGGUAUGCUAAUACGAGAUAAUAUACUUUUAUCGCAUGGUAGAAGUAUCAAAGCUCCGGCGGUACAGGAUGGACCCGCGUCUGAUUAGCUAGUUGGUAAGGUAACGGCUUACCAAGGCGACGAUCAGUAGCCGACCUGAGAGGGUGAUCGGCCACCUUGGAACUGAGACACGGUCCAAACUCCUACGGGAGGCAGCAGUGGGGAAUAUUGCACAAUGGGCGAAAGCCUGAUGCAGCAACGCCGCGUGAGCGAUGAAUGCCUUCGGGUCGUAAAGCUCUGUCCUCAAGGAAGAUAAUGACGGUACUUGAGGAGGAAGCCCCGGCUGACUACGUGCCAGCCGCCGCAGUAA